UGAAUUGACGGGGGCCCGCACAAGCGGUGGAACAUGUGGUUUAAUUCGAUGCAACGCGAAGAACCUUACCUGGGCUUGACAUCUUUGGAACCUUUAUGAAAGUAGAGGGUGCCUUCGGGAGCCAAAAGACAGGUGGUGCACGGUUGUCGUCAGCUCGUGUCGUGAGAUGUUGGGUUAAGUCCCGCAACGAGCGCAACCCUCGUGGUCUGUUGUUACAGGUCGUAAGAUGCUGAACCCUCAGGCCAGACUGCCGGUGACAAACCGGAGGAAGGUGGGGAUGACGUCAAAUCAUCACGCCCCUUAUGUCCAGGGCUACACACGUGUUACAAUGGGAAGCGGACAAUAGGUCGCUUGGCAGCAAUGUCUGGCAAAUCCUUUAAACCGCCCCUCAGUUCGGAUCGGAGUCUGCAAUUCGACUCCGUGAAGUUGGAAUCGCUAGUAAACGCAGAUCAGCACGCUGCGUUGAGUACGUUCCCGGGCCUUGUACACACCGCCCGUCACACCACGAAAGAGGGUUAUGCCCGAAGUCGGUGUCCUAACCGUAAGGAAGGAGCCGCCUAAGGUGGAGCUCUUGAUUGGGGUGAAGUCGUAACAAGGUAA
rnacentral:rRNA from 1 species